GGGGCUGUAGCUCAGUGGUAGAGCACCCGCCUUGCAAGUGUGGGGCACUGGGUUCAAUCCUCCGCACCA
rnacentral:tRNA from 1 species